CCUGAGAUCAAAAUACAUGAGGAUAGCAUGACAAACCCUCCCAAAAAAAAUCUGAAUCUUCAUCUCAGAUUUGGAGAAAAUUCCAAGGCUAUAGGCUUACUGUUUUUCUCAGCAAAAAAGUGAAGUAUCCCCUACAAUGAUUCCGGGACGCUUCUCCCAUGUAAAAAAGCGUUUCGAACAAGAAGCCGUCAAUCAAAUUGAGCUGGCAUUCGGAUUCCUGAGAUCAAAAUACAUGAGGAUAGCAUGACAAACCCUCCCAAAAAAAAAUCUGAAUCUUCAUCUCAGAUUUGGAGAAAAUUCCAAGGCUAUAGGCUUACUGUUUUUCUCAGCAAAAAAGUGAAGUAUCCCCUACAAUGAUUCCGGGACGCUUCUCCCAUGUGAAAAAGCGUUUUGAACAAGAAGCCGUCAAUCAAAUUGAGCUGGCAUUCGGAUUCCUGAGAUCAAAAUACAUGAGAUGAGCGCAAGAAACACUUCGAAAAAAAAUCUGGAUCUUCAUCUCAGAUUUUGAAAAAAUUCCAAGGCUAUAGGCUUACUGUUUUUCUCAGCAAAAAAGUGAAGUAUCCCCUACAUUGAUUCCGGGACGCUUCUCCCAUGUAAAAAAGCGUUUCGAACAAGAAGCCGUCAAUCAAAUUGAGCUGGCAUUCGGAUUCCUGAGAUCAAAAUACAUCGGAAUAACAUAGAAAUUCUCAUGAAGAAAAUUCUCAACAGAUACUCCGAAAAGAUGCGCCUAGACCUGGUGCCUCAUCAUAUGCAUGCCUCCAUGUCUGUGUAAUCAAUCAUACUUCUACAGGGUAUGAUGAAGACAUAAGCUAGUUGCAUGCUGAGCUGAUCCUAUACAAUCAUAUGUAUUUAAUUUCACUCCUAUCAAUAAAUUUGC